CGGCGUAUCUCACUAAAACAUUUAUAGUCUACUAUGUUUAAAAGUUGAGCAAAGGAAAUCCUGAAACAUUAGUUAAGUCACAACUUGAAUCACAACUGACAUACACCUAGAUUCAUAUUAAUUUCCUUUUGCUUUUUAGGGUUUGCUUCUCUCCCCCCGCCUCACAACUUGCCAUACUUUUGUUUCAUAAUUAUGUAAAACACCCAUCUGGUGCUACACAGAAAAGAAAACCAGAGACAUCUCCUGGUAACCCUGUCCUCUCUCAUCCCUCCUCCUAGAAAUAACCAUAUUGUUCAUUUAUGGUUUGUAUUUCCAUAUUUAAAAAUAAAAUAGAAGCAAAUACACAUACAUCCAUGUCCCUCCACCUUUCCUUGGAGAGGUAAGCAUACUGUAUCUCUUUAUCCCCCACCUUGCUUCUUCCACUUCUCAUUUCACCCUAGAAAUCCCAUCACCAUGACAUAAGGACGUCCCUUCUUCCUUUGCUCAGGGGGCUUGAUGCCAUCCCCACCCAGGAGAUCCAUCCCCAUAAGUCUCUAGCCCCAACUGACAAACAUCUAAGUCAUUUCCAGCUUUGUUACUUCAGAAUGUUAGAAUGAACAUCCUUGUCACAAUUCUUAUGUUUGACAGUGUAUCUUUGUGAUACAUUUUUCUAGAAGCGGAAUUUCUGAAGCAAAGGGUAAACAAAUCUCUCUCUGAAGAGCUGUGAGCCUCCAAAAGCAAUAUAUGGCAGUGCUUGAUUCCCAUCAAUAGACUGGCAUCCACCUCUGGGGACAAAAGCAGGCAAAUCCAGGCAGCCGGUUCUCACCCCAUACAGCUAUGCUGUUAGAGAGACAUGCACCCCUCAGCAAGUCACCUGCUGGCUAGCCUGUAAAAGCAGCUGACCAACUCAGGAGGUCCUCCAAGCUGUCUUAGAGUUCUAAGACAAUUCCCAGUUCUACCUUCUUCUCUAGGAGGUAGCUGUAAGCUUCUGAAGCAGUGCUCAGUUUCAAAUGUCCAAGGAGCUGAAUGAGGUUCACUGGACAAGUCAGAGCCUUCAUUCCAGACACCAGACCUCAACCACUCACCU